AGUGAACGCUGGCGGUAGGCCUAACACAUGCAAGUCGAACGGCAGCACAGUAAGAGCUUGCUCUUACGGGUGGCGAGUGGCGGACGGGUGAGGAAUACAUCGGAAUCUACUUUUUCGUGGGGGAUAACGUAGGGAAACUUACGCUAAUACCGCAUAUGACCUACGGGUGAAAGCAGGGGAUCUUCGGACCUUGCGCGAUUGAAUGAGCCGAUGUCGGAUUAGCUAGUUGGCGGGGUAAAGGCCCACCAAGGCGACGAUCCGUAGCUGGUCUGAGAGGAUGAUCAGCCACACUGGAACUGAGACACGGUCCAGACUCCUACGGGAGGCAGCAGUGGGGAAUAUUGGACAAUGGGCGCAAGCCUGAUCCAGCCAUACCGCGUGGGUGAAGAAGGCCUUCGGGUUGUAAAGCCCUUUUGUUGGGAAAGAAAAGCAGCAGGUUAAUACCACGCUGUUCUGACGGUACCCAAAGAAUAAGCACCGGCUAACUUCGUG
rnacentral:rRNA from 1 species